UGUGUGGCAUUUCUAGUGCAUGCAAAGUUCAAGUCUGGAUUGCCUCAGAAUUGCUGCUGUUUCUGUUUCCCCCCUUUCUUCUAGGGACCUCCAGGACCCCCAGGCAACCCUGGCCUUCCUGGGGCCCCAGGACCUCCCGGACCCCCAGGGAUUCUUUAUGUCAAUAGAGUGUAUCCUGUCCGAUCCAGGCCACAUUGCAAGCAGCCGGUGAGUUGACAAAACCAAAUGGUUGCAUCUUACUUUCCCUCAGACA
rnacentral:lncRNA from 1 species